CUGGGAUAACCUAUCGAAAGAUGGNCUAAUACCGGAUAAGACCACGGGAGUUUCGGCUUCUGCGNCCAAAGGUGGCCUCUACUUGUAAGCUACCACUUGGAGAUGGGCCUGCGGCCCAUUAGCUAGUUGGUGAGNUAACGGCUCACCAAGGCUACGAUGGCUAGCUGGUCUAAGAGGAUGAUCAGCCACACUGGGACUGAGACACGGCCCAGACUCCUACGGGAGGCAGCAGUAGGGAAUAUUGCGCAAUGGGGGAAACCCUGACGCACCGACCCCGCGUGGGUGAUGAAGGCCUUCGGGUCGUAAAGCCCUGUCGGAGGGGAAGAAGGGUUGGCGCUCGAACAGGGCGUUGACUUGACGGUACCUUCAAAGAACACC
rnacentral:rRNA from 1 species